AUUUUAUUUCUAGUGAUUGGAAUGAUGGGAAUCCAAACCCCUUUCAGAGUAACAAUUGGAGGGCAAGUCUGGUGCCAGCAGCCGCGGUAAUUCCAGCUCCAAUAGCGUAUAUUAAAGUUGUUGCAGUUAAAAAGCUCGUAGUUGGAUGUCUGCUGGAAGCAAUCAGUCCGCCCUAUUUUAGGGUGUGCACUUGAUGAAUUCUGGCAUCUAUUAUCUCUAGUGUAGUCAUGAUUUUCAGUAAUCGUGACAUACCAUUAGGGAUAGUACAGUUACUUUGAGAAAAUUAGAGUGUUUGAAGCAGGCUUAUUGUUGCCUUGAAUACUGCAGCAUGGAAUAACAAUAUAGGAUUUCGGUUCUAUUUUGUUGGUUUCUAGGACUGAAAUAAUGAUUAAUAGGGACAGUUGGGGGCAUUCGUAUUUAACUGUCAGAGGUGAAAUUCUUAGAUUUGUUAAAGACGAACUACUGCGAAAGCAUUUGCCAAGGAUGUUUUCAUUAAUCAAGAACGAAAGUUAGGGGCUCGAAGACGAUCAGAUACCGUCGUAGUCUUAACCAUAAACUAUGCCGACUAGAGAUAGCA
rnacentral:rRNA from 1 species